rnacentral:rRNA from 1 species
GAUGAACGCUGGCGGCGUGCCUAAUACAUGCAAGUCGAGCGAACGGACGAGAAGCUUGCUUUUCUGAUGUUAGCGGCGGACGGGUGAGUAACACGUGGAUAACCUACCUAUAAGACUGGGAUAACUUCGGGAAACCGGAGCUAAUACCGGAUAAUAUUUUGAACCGCAUGGCUCAAAAGUGAAAGACGGUCUUGCUGUCACUUAUAGAUGGAUCCGCGCUGCAUUAGCUAGUUGGUAAGGUAACGGCUUACCAAGGCAACGAUGCAUAGCCGACCUGAGAGGGUGAUCGGCCACACUGGAACUGAGACACGGUCCCGACUCCUACGGGAGGCAGCGGUCGGGAAUCUUCCGCAAUGGGCGGAAGCCUGACGGAGCAACGCCGCGUGAGUGAUGAAGGUCUUCGGAUCGUAAAACUCUGUUAUUAGGGAAGAACAUAUGUGUAAGUAACUGUGCACAUCUUGACGGUACCUAAUCAGAAAGCCACGGCUAACUCCGUG